rnacentral:piRNA from 1 species
UAUGAGUUGGUGGUGUGAGACUGGGC